rnacentral:rRNA from 1 species
UACGUAGGGGGCUAGCGUUGUCCGGAAUCAUUGGGCGUAAAGAGCGUGUAGGCGGCCCGGUAAGUCCGCUGUAAAAGUCAAAGGCUCAACCUUUGAAUGUCAGUGGAUACUGCCCGGGCUAGAGUCCCGGAAGAGGCGAGUGGAACUCCUGGUGUAGCGGUGGAAUGCGCAGAUAUCAGGAAGAACACCAACGGCGAAGGCAGCUCGCUGGGACGGUACUGACGCUGAGACGCGAAAGCGUGGGGAGCGAACAGG